AAAAGAAACCAACAGGGAUUGCCUCAGUAACGGCGAGUGAAGCGGCAACAGCUCAAAUUUGAAAUCUGGCUCUUUCAGGGUCCGAGUUGUAAUUUGUAGAAGAUGCUUCGGGUGUGGCUCCGGUCUAAGUUCCUUGGAACAGGACGUCAUAKAGGGUGAGAAUCCCGUAUGUGACUGGCUGCCUUCGCCUAUGUGAAGCUCUUUCGACGAGUCGAGUUGUUUGGGAAUGCAGCUCAAAAUGGGUGGUAAAUUUCAUCUAAAGCUAAAUAUUGGCCAGAGACCGAUAGCGCACAAGUAGAGUGAUCGAAAGAUGAAAAGCACUUUGGAAAGAGAGUUAAACAGUACGUGAAAUUGUUGAAAGGGAAGCGCUUGCAACCAGACUUGCACUUGGUCGAUCAUCCGAGGUUCUCCUCGGUGCACUCGAUCUCGUUCAGGCCAGCAUCGGUUCAGGUGGUGGGAUAAAGGCCUUGGGAAUGUAGCUUCUUUCGGGGAGUGUUAUAGCCCUCGGUGCAAUGCCGCCUACCUGGACCGAGGACCGCGCUUCGGCUAGGAUGCUGGCGU
rnacentral:rRNA from 1 species